AUAACUAAGCGGAGGAAAAGAAACUAACCAGGAUUCCCCCAGUAACGGCGAGUGAAGCGGGAAGAGCUCACGUUGUAAAUCUGCCUUCGGGCCGAAUUGUAGUCUGGAGAGGCGCGACCAGCCGUGGCCGGGGGCGAAGUCUCUUGGAAAAGAGCAUCAAGGAGGGUGACAAUCCCGUUCUUGCCCCCACGCCGCGCGCGUACGGUCCGUUUUCUAAGAGUCGAGUUGCUUGGGAUUGCAGCUCAAAGCGGGUGGUAAAUUCCAUCUAAAGCUAAACACGGGUGGGAGACCGAUAGCGAACAAGUACCGUGAGGGAAAGAUGCAAAGAACUUUGAAAAGAGAGUUAAAGAGUGCCUGAAAUUGCUGAAAGGGAAGCGAAGGAAACCAGUGUCUGGCGUCGAAGCUUUCCCUCCGCCCUUCGGGGCUCUGGGUCGCGUCUUCGCCGUGGCCAGGGUCGGGUAUGGUUGCGGGAGCCUGCGUCGUGGAAGGUAGCCUCUCCUCGGAGGGUGAAUACCGCGGCGUGUCGUCGCGACUGUGGCCGGCUCUGACGAAAUGGUUUUCUUUACC
rnacentral:rRNA from 1 species